rnacentral:tRNA from 1 species
UGCCUUGUAGUAUAUACUUCCAUAUUACCAUAAACUGCAACUUUAUCAAAGCAACUGCCAAGGCAU